CCAYGCCCACUCACACCUGCACACUGUUUCAUGCAGCACAGCUGCAGCCACUCUUCCCAUCAGUCCUAAMCCAGAAACCCUGCCCGAUUCUCCUCUCUCAGCAGUCGAGCAUUUCACAUGUGGUGACCGGUCCUCUCUGUGGUCCUGCUGCUCKUUAAGAGUCUCUCAGCGCUUUUGAGGGAGCAGGAGAUGGACCAAUGGACUGGUGCCUCAUUCUCAGUAAUGAGGGCGUUGCUUCGGUUGGCCGUGGUGAAGAAAGCUGAGUCGAAAGACAAAGCUCUGGAUUUACUGGUCUGUCAGGUCUCCCAGGAUGAGCUGGGGAGGGGGAUGCCUGGACCUGCUGUCUCCACGACCCAACUAUGGAUCAGCAUCAGAGGAUGGAGAUUCUUCAGCUCCUCGUGUUCACUCCACAUCCCUGGGUCCCGACCUCCUGAAACUGUGACAACCAUCCCCUAAAAAGUCACCACUUUACAUACAAAAUGUGUCUAUUUUCCUAAAAUAAAGAGUUUUAGUGUUUCUCCUGGUCUGACA